GGUGCCACUGGGACACUAUGGGAUUCUGUGUGCUGUUGAAUCUGAUCAUAUCUACAAUUAAUGGCUACUUGAUCAAAACUAAUGAAAACCUCUCUUGCCUACCGUUUCAGCUGGGCAUGGUUGCAGCAAGGCCAUGUGAAGACACCAGGGCUUACUCUAAGAUUUUUUGGAGAAUUAUAGAGUUCUAUUUUUGGCUCAGAGGGAACAAAAAUAUUCCUCUGGAGACUGUGGACUGAGUGGAGAACUUCACCUGAGGCUUUGCUUGAGUUUUCAAGUGCCGUAAGGAGCCAGAGGAAGAAGAUUCCUCCUGAAAGAUGUGAAAAAUGAGGCUUAAGCAGUUACAUCAAUUUCUCAAGAUUACACAGCCAGUGUAUAAUUCAGGAGGAACGGGAAAUUGAAGGAUAAGUAGAAUUUCAACAGGUAAAGAUGGAAAAGGGACCUUCUAAGAGGAGGGUCACCAUUCAAAGCCCUUCAGAGUGAUGAUAAAGUAUAAGCCUUAUAUUAGAAAGGUUAUAAACCUUUCUAGUUGCUAGAGUGUUGCAAACCCCACAAAAGUGUACCAUAAGAAUGAAUGUACUGUCAGAUAUAUGGUGAUGGAAGGAGAACUGACUCUGGGUGGUGAACACACAAUGUGAU